UGCUGCUGCAGCUCCUGUAGGCCAAAGAUUCCAAGCUGAACAUCCAGAGCUGCUGAGAACAGCUGCAGAUGACUGACUCAGUGUGUUUGCAUAUGUGUGCUGCCUCUCUGCUUCCAGCAGUUAAGAGCUCAGUGUUGAUCAGUGGCUGUCCAGACCUUUCAGAGACACUGACACACCUGCAGCACAAUGAGGAUGUCACUGACUCUGCUGCUGGCUGUCCUGGAGCUCCUUGUUCAGGGUUCAUCAGGUGAAAUCACUUUGACUCAGACUCCUGGAUCUAAGUCUGUUGUUCCAGGAGAAACUUUCUCCAUUAGAUGUCAAACCAGUUCAAGUGUUAGCACCAACCUUCACUGGUAUCUACAGAAAUCUGUAGAAGCUCCUAAACUCCUGAUAUAUUAUGCAACAACUCGUCAGUCUGGAGUUUCUGAUCGUUUUCGUGGAAGUGGAUCUGGCAGUGAUUACACUCUGACCAUCAGUAGAGUUCAGGCUGAAGAUUCAGGAGUUUAUUACUGUCAGCAGAGCAACAGCUUUCCGUUCACACAGUGAAACAACGUCGUACAAAAACCUCUUUCAGCUAAAGAGGAACUGAUCUGAAUGAACAGCUGCUCUCAACCUUUUUGGUGAAAAUGUGGAUUUUCCCAUAAAUUUUUUGAUCUUCUAACAUCAAUGAAUCUACCAAAGGAAAACAAUGCUUAGC